CACGUAGGUGGCAUCGUAAGUCAAAGGUGAAAGCCCUCGGCUCAACCGAGGAAUUGCCUUUGAAACUGCUUUGCUUGAGUCCGGGAGGGGGGAGCGGAAUUCCCAGUGUAGCGGUGAAAUGCGUAGAUACUGGGAGGAACACCGGUGGCGAAGGCGGCUCCCUGGACCGGUACUGACACUGAGGUGCGAAAGCGUGGGUAGCAAACAGGAUUAGAUACCCUGGUAGUCC
rnacentral:rRNA from 1 species